UUUCAACUUAAGGACUUGACACCUUCUUUAGCUGACCAAGAAAGUGUAUGUGUGGAAUCAAUUUAUCUGUGUAGUAAUACCAAAUUUUGAAAUCUGGCAUUUGAUGAGUCAGCCAGGGAGAAAAUGGAAACACAUUGUGAGAGGUUCCUUCUGUGAAAAAAGUGCAACUUUGUGACAUGAUAUGCCUUCCUGACUGUAUAUACCUGAGCAGCAUACAGCUUAUUACUGCAUAAAAGAAACAUAUCAAGAUAAUUUUGAAUCAGAUUGUGUGCUGGAAAAAUGGCCUUACAUCCAAAGGAGUGAAAUUUGGAGAGUCAUUUGCCAUCUACUUAAGCCAUCCUGGAAUAUGAAGAAAUAAGACUGCAUUGACAACAUCCUGAUCCUCGUGUUCAGAUCUUUUGUGAUUUCUUGUGAAGGGUCUUUGAUUUUUCAUAAAAAUAAAAAAUAUAUUAAUAUAAUAUGAUUUUUGCUUAUUACUGAGUUUUUUUCCGUUUCAGCAGGUGCAGCCGAUUUCCACUAGUUGCCACGUAUUUUCCUACUAUUGCCAGCUAUUUGGUGGCAUUUAGUGGAAAAUAGGA